rnacentral:rRNA from 1 species
AUUGAACGCUGGCGGCAUGCUUUACACAUGCAAGUCGAACGGCAGCGCGGGCUUCGGCCUGGCGGCGAGUGGCGAACGGGUGAGUAAUACAUCGGAACGUGCCCAGUAGUGGGGGAUAGCUCGGCGAAAGCCGGAUUAAUACCGCAUACGACCUGAGGGUGAAAGCGGGGGAUCUUCGGACCUCGCGCUCUUGGAGCGGCCGAUGGCCGAUUAGCUAGUUGGUGGGGUAAAGGCCUACCAAGGCGACGAUCUGUAGCUGGUCUGAGAGGACGACCAGCCACACUGGAACUGAGACACGGCCCAGACUCCUACGGGAGGCAGCAGUGGGGAAUUUUGGACAAUGGGCGAAAGCCUGAUCCAGCAAUGCCGCGUGUGUGAUGAAGGCCUUCGGGUUGUAAAGCACUUUUGGCGGGAACGAAAAGGACUGUGCCAAUACCACGGUUCGAUGACGGUACCCGCAGAAUAAGCACCGGCUAACUACGUG